UACGUAGGGUGCGAGCGUUGCCCGGAUUUAUUGGGCGUAAAGGGCGCGUAGGCGGCCACGCACGUCCGUUGUGAAAUCGCCCGGCUCAACUGGGCGGGGUCAGCGGAUACGGUGUGGCUCGAGCAAGCUAGGGGGCAAUGGAAUUCCCGGUGUAGUGGUGGAAUGCGUAGAUAUCAGGAGGAACACCAGUGGCGAAGGCGGUUGCCUGGAGCUUUGCUGACGCUGAGGCGCGAAAGCGUGGGGAGCGAUCCGG
rnacentral:rRNA from 1 species